GUCCACGCCGUAAACUAUGAUUACUCGAUAUUGGCGAUACACAGUCAGUGUCUAAGCGAAAGUGAUAAGUAAUCCACCUGGGGAGUACGUUGGCAACAAUGAAACUCAAAGGAAUUGACGGGGGCCCGCACAAGCGGUGGAGCAUGUGGUUUAAUUCGAUGAUACGCGAGGAACCUUACCAGGGCUUAAAUGCAGACUGACAGAUCUGGAAACAGAUUUUUCUUCGGACAGACUGCAAGGUGC
rnacentral:rRNA from 1 species